rfam:Lacimicrobium alkaliphilum strain YelD216, complete genome.
GGUUAAGUAACAAAGCGUAUACGGUGGAUGCCUAGGCAGUUAGAGGCGAUGAAGGACGUGUAAGUCUGCGAAAAGCUGUGGUGAGCUGACAAAACGCAUUUGAGCCACAGAUGUCCGAAUGGGGAAACCCAGUGCAUUUAUGCAUUAUCGUUACAUGAAUACAUAGUGUAACGAGGCGAACCGGGAGAACUGAAACAUCUAAGUACCCCGAGGAAAAGAAAUCAACCGAGAUUCCCCUAGUAGCGGCGAGCGAACGGGGAGUAGCCCUUAAGUUAUCAGUGUUUUAGUGGAAGGCUCUGGAAAGUGCCGCCAUAGUGGGUGAUAGCCCCGUACACAAAGGAACACUGAUAGUGAAAUCGAGUAGGUCGGGACACGUGUUAUCUUGACUGAACAUGGGGGGACCAUCCUCCAAGGCUAAAUACUCCUAACUGACCGAUAGUGAACCAGUACCGUGAGGGAAAGGCGAAAAGAACCCCUGUGAGGGGAGUGAAAUAGAACCUGAAACCGUAUACGUACAAGCAGUCGGAGCCCCAUCACUAAGUGCCUUUAGUGUUGAGACUCACUGAACAGCUCAAGCUUGAGUGGUUAACAACGACCUGCGAAGCAGCCGUUGGUCAACCGCGCCAAUCAAGCAAUAGGGUGCUUAGUGAUGGGGUGACGGCGUACCUUUUGUAUAAUGGGUCAGCGACUUAUAUUUAGUAGCGAGGUUAACCGAUUAGGGGAGCCGUAGCGAAAGCGAGUGUUAACUGCGCGUACAGUUGCUAGGUAUAGACCCGAAACCCGGUGAUCUAGCCAUGGGCAGGUUGAAGGUUGAGUAACAUCAACUGGAGGACCGAACUCACUAAUGUUGAAAAAUUAGGAGAUGACUUGUGGCUGGGGGUGAAAGGCCAAUCAAACCGGGAGAUAGCUGGUUCUCCCCGAAAGCUAUUUAGGUAGCGCCUCGGACGAACACCUACGGGGGUAGAGCACUGUUUGGGCUAGGGGGUCAUCCCGACUUACCAACCCCAUGCAAACUCCGAAUACCGUAGAGUGCUAUCCGGGAGACACACGGCGGGUGCUAACGUCCGUCGUGAAGAGGGAAACAACCCAGACCGCCAGCUAAGGUCCCAAAAUAUUGCUAAGUGGGAAACGAUGUGGAAAGGCCCAGACAGCUAGGAGGUUGGCUUAGAAGCAGCCACCCUUUAAAGAAAGCGUAAUAGCUCACUAGUCGAGUCGGUCUGCGCGGAAGAUGUAACGGGGCUAAGCAAUAUACCGAAGCUGCGGCAGCGUGCAUCACCAGAAGCUAUUGGAUUAACGUCGACGCGCGAAGCGCCCGACGGUAAAGCGUUCUCAACACAGUCGAGGCUGUAUGGGAAAGCGAGAUGCAGUAGUUUGUGGGAUGCACGCUGGGUAGGGGAGCGUUGUGUAAGUGGCUGAAGGUGACUCGAGAGGGUUGCUGGACAUAUCACAAGUGCGAAUGCUGACAUGAGUAACGAUAAAGGGGGUGAAAAACCCCCUCGCCGGAAGACCAAGGUUUCCUGUCCCAUGCUAAUCAGGGCAGGGUAAGUCGGCCCCUAAGGCGAGGCCGAAAGGCGUAGUCGAUGGGAAACGGGUUAAUAUUCCCGUACCGGUAUUAUCAGUGAAGGGGGACGGAGAAGGCUAUGCAGGCAUGGCGUUGGUAGUCCAUGUGAAAGUGCGUAGGGAGAUGAAUUAGGUAAAUCCGGUUCAUUAAUUCUGAGACACGAGACGAGUCACUACGGUGAUGAAGUUGCAGAUGCCCUGCUUCCAGGAAAAGCCUCUAAGCUUAUGAUAAUACUGACCGUACCCCAAACCGACACAGGUGGUCAGGUAGAGAAUACCAAGGCGCUUGAGAGAACUCGGGUGAAGGAACUCGGCAAAAUAGUACCGUAACUUCGGGAGAAGGUACGCCCCUGUUUGUGAAGGCUUUACGCCGUAAGCGAAUGGGGGCCGCAGUGACCAGGUGGCUGGGACUGUUUAUUAAAAACACAGCACUGUGCUAAAUCGAAAGAUGACGUAUACGGUGUGACACCUGCCCGGUGCCGGAAGGUUAAUUGAUGGGGUUAGCUUAGGCGAAGCUCUUGAUCGAAGCCCCGGUAAACGGCGGCCGUAACUAUAACGGUCCUAAGGUAGCGAAAUUCCUUGUCGGGUAAGUUCCGACCUGCACGAAUGGUGUAACCAUGGCCACGCUGUCUCCACCCGAGACUCAGUGAAAUUGAAAUUGCCGUGAAGAUGCGGUGUACCCGCGGCUAGACGGAAAGACCCCGUGAACCUUUACUACAGCUUGGCACUGAACAUUGACCCUACAUGUGUAGGAUAGGUGGGAGGCUAUGAAGCAUUGUCGCCAGAUGAUGUGGAGCUGCCCUUGAAAUACCACCCUUGUAUGUUUGAUGUUCUAACGUUGGUCCCUUAUCGGGAUUGCGGACAGUGUCUGGUGGGUAGUUUGACUGGGGCGGUCUCCUCCCAAAGCGUAACGGAGGAGCACGAAGGUUGGCUAAUCCUGGUCGGACAUCAGGAGGUUAGUGUAAUGGCAUAAGCCAGCUUAACUGCGAGACAGACACGUCGAGCAGGUACGAAAGUAGGUCAUAGUGAUCCGGUGGUUCUGAAUGGAAGGGCCAUCGCUCAACGGAUAAAAGGUACUCCGGGGAUAACAGGCUGAUACCGCCCAAGAGUUCAUAUCGACGGCGGUGUUUGGCACCUCGAUGUCGGCUCAUCACAUCCUGGGGCUGAAGUCGGUCCCAAGGGUAUGGCUGUUCGCCAUUUAAAGUGGUACGCGAGCUGGGUUUAGAACGUCGUGAGACAGUUCGGUCCCUAUCUGCCGUGGGCGCUGGAUGAUUGAGGGGAGCUGCUCCUAGUACGAGAGGACCGGAGUGGACGAACCGCUGGUGUUCGGGUUGUCAUGCCAAUGGCACUGCCCGGUAGCUACGUUCGGAAUCGAUAACCGCUGAAAGCAUCUAAGCGGGAAGCGAGCCCCAAGAUGAGUCAUCCCUGACAGUUUACUGUCCUGAAGGGUUGUCUGAGACUAAGACGUUGAUAGGCAGGGUGUGGAAGCGUUGUAAGGCGUUAAGCUAACCUGUACUAAUUGCCCGUGAGGCUUAACCAU